ensembl:lncRNA
UUUAUAGAGUAUCAGUCAUGUUUAUUAGGAUGGAGGGAAUUUAUAGAGUAUCAGUCAUGUUUAUUCGGAUGGAUGGGGGGAUUUAUAGAGUAUCAGUCAUAUUUAUUAGGAUGGAGGGGAUUUAUAGAGUAUCAGUCAUGUUUAUUAGGAUGGAGGGGAUUUAUAGAGUAUCAGUCAUGUUUAUUAGGAUGGAUGGGGGGAUUUAUAGAGUAUCAGUCAUGUUUAUUAGGAUGGAGGGGGGGAUUUAUAGAGUAUCAGUCAUGUUUAUUAGGAUGAUGGAGGGGAUUUAUAGAGUAUCAGUCAUGUUUAUUAGGAUAGAGGGGGGGAUUUAUAGAGUAUCAGUCAUGUUUAUUAGGAUGGAGGGGAUUUAUAGAGUAUCAGUCAUGUUUAUUAGGAUGGAUGGGGGGAUUUAUAGAGUAUCAGUCAUGUUUAUUAGGAUGGAGGGGAUUUAUAGAGUAUCAGUCAUGUUUAUUAGGAUAAG